GUAAGGUCUCGUUGGUGACAGCGGAGGGACAUUACCGAGUUUACAACUCCCAAACCCCAAUGUGAACGUUACCAAACUGUUGCCUCGGCGGGAUUUCUGCCCCGGGCGCGUCGCAGCCCCGGACCAAGGCGCCCGCCGGAGGACCAAUUUACAAACUCUUUUGUAUAUCCCAUCGCGGAUUCUUUACAUUCUGAGCUUUCUCGGCGCUCCUAGCGAGCGUUUCGAAAAUGAAUCAAAACUUUCAACAACGGAUCUCUUGGUUCUGGCAUCGAUGAAGAACGCAGCGAAAUGCGAUAAGUAAUGUGAAUUGCAGAAUUCAGUGAAUCAUCGAAUCUUUGAACGCACAUUGCGCCCGCCAGUAUUCUGGCGGGCAUGCCUGUCCGAGCGUCAUUUCAACCCUCGAACCCCUCCGGGGGGUCGGCGUUGGGGAUCGGCACUUACCUGCCGGCCCCGAAAUACAGUGGCGGUCUCGCCGCAGCCUCUCCUGCGCAGUAGUUUGCACACUCGCACCGGGAGCGCGGCGCGUCCACGGCCGUAAAACAACCCAAACUUCUGAAAUGUUGACCUCGGAUCAGGUAGGAAUACCCGCUGAACUUAAGCAUAUCAAUAAGCGGAGGA
rnacentral:rRNA from 1 species